rnacentral:tRNA from 1 species
GGACUAUGGCUAAGCGGUAAAGCACUCGCCUCACACUUGUGAGACCCUGGGUUCGAUCCUCAGCACCA